rnacentral:rRNA from 1 species
UACGUAGGGGGCGAGCGUUGUCCGGAAUUACUGGGCGUAAAGGGCGUGCAGGCGGACUAAUAAGUCAGGUGUGAAAUACCGGGGCUUAACCCCGGGGCUGCACAUGAAACUUUAUGGCUUGAGGACAGGAGAGGGAAGUGGAAUUCCCAGUGUAGCGGUGAAAUGCGUAGAUAUUGGGAGGAACACCAGUGGCGAAGGCGACUCCCUGGACUGGCCCUGACGCUGAGGCGCGAAAGCGUGGGGAGCGAAC